rnacentral:misc_RNA from 1 species
UCAAACUUGGUCAUUUAGAGGAAGUAAAAGUCGUAACAAGGUUUCCGUAGGUGAACCUGCGGAAGGAUCAUUAUCGAGUUAGGGUCCUCGCGGCCCGACCUCCCAUCCUGUGUCUAUUGUACUGCGUUGCUUCGGUGGGCCCGUCCCUUGGGACCGCCGGGCGUGUCCGCACGCCGGGCCUGUGCCCGCCGACAGCCUCCUUCAAAUUCUUGAUCAACAGUGAUUGUCUAAGUCAAAAAUCAAAAAUAACGCAAAACUUUCAACAACGGAUCUCUUGGUUCUGGCAUCGAUGAAGAACGCAGC